rnacentral:rRNA from 1 species
UCCACGCUGUAAACGAUGAGAACUAGAUGUUGGUAGGCUUGACCUAUUAGUAUCGAAGCUAACGCGAUAAGUUCUCCGCCUGGGGAGUACGGCCGCAAGGUUAAAACUCAAAGGAAUUGACGGGGGCCCGCACAAGCGGUGGAGCAUGUGGUUUAAUUCGAUGCAACGCGAAGAACCUUACCUACCCUUGACAUCCAAAGAAUUUUGCAGAGAUGCGAAAGUGCCGAAAGGAACUUUGAGACAGGUGCUGCAUGGCUGUCGUCAGCUCGUGUUG